AAGAGAUUUUUGUAAAAAUUCUGCAUUAUUCCUUGACUGGAAAUUUUCCUUCGUGUAUAUUAUAGACAUCAUUUAACAGGAUAAUUUUUGAGUUUUCCAGAACUAGAUAAUUAUUCUGCUAGUGAUAAUAUUUAUUUCGACACAAUCUGUGUCUUGAAAGGCUUAGGAGGAAAAGUUCACAUGCAAAACGGCAAAGUUAAAUGGUUCAAUAACGAAAAAGGUUUUGGUUUUAUUGAAGUUGAAGGCGGAGACGAUGUGUUCGUUCACUUCACUGCUAUCCAAGGCGACGGCUUCAAGUCUUUGGAAGAAGGCCAGGAAGUUUCUUUUGAAAUCGUUGAAGGAAACCGCGGACCUCAAGCAGCUAAUGUUGUAAAACUUUAAUCAGCACUUAUAGAUAUUGGCCCAUUGGAGACCAAUUAAAAAAGGCUGGCAUUUUGCCAGCCUUUUUUAC
rnacentral:sRNA from 1 species